rnacentral:rRNA from 1 species
CCUACGGGAGGCAGCAGUGGGGAAUUUUGGACAAUGGGGGCAACCCUGAUCCAGCCAUGCCGCGUGAGUGAAGAAGGCCUUCGGGUUGUAAAGCUCUUUCGGCCGGGACGAAAUCGCACCAUCUAAUAAGUGGCGUGGAUGACGGUACCGGAAUAAGAAGCACCGGCUAACUACGUGCCAGCAGCCGCGGUAAUACGUAGGGUGCGAGCGUUAAUCGGAAUUACUGGGCGUAAAGCGUGCGCAGGCGGUUUUGUAAGCCAGAUGUGAAAUCCCCGGGCUUAACCUGGGAACUGCAUUUGGGACUGCAAGGCUAGAGUGUGUCAGAGGGGGGUAGAAUUCCACGUGUAGCAGUGAAAUGCGUAGAGAUGUGGAGGAAUACCGAUGGCGAAGGCAGCCCCCUGGGAUAACACUGACGCUCAUGCACGAAAGCGUGGGGAGCAAACAGGAUUAGAUACCCUGGUAGUCCACGCCCUAAACGAUGUCAACUAGUUGUCGGAGGAGAGAUUCUUUGGUAACGCAGCUAACGCGUGAAGUUGACCGCCUGGGGAGUACGGCCGCAAGGUUAAAACUCAAAGGAAUUGACGGA